rnacentral:lncRNA from 1 species
AUGGGUCAUUUCUUCCAGGCUCCAACUUGCUUCUGCUUUGCCAUAUGGUAACACGCCGUAUUAUGGAAGCACCAUCAUUACCGCCAUUUGCAGGGGAAGCCUAAAGAGAUAAAUGCCAGCCAGCAUCCCUGUCUCUGGGGCCCUGGAGAGGCCUUCAACACACCUGGCCUCACUGCCCUGUGGCUUCAACAAAGAGGCCGAGCAUCUCCUAUAAACCUUGAGGUCCAUGGAUGACAUAGCGGAAUGAUGGAUUUCAGAAAAGGCAGGUGCUUCCCACUCUUUAAAUUUUUGUUUAUUCUUUCCAAGUUUCCCAUCAACAGCCCUGCAGUAAAAAUUCAGGGCUUCAGAGACAAAUAUUUCAUGAGUACAGACUGUGAUGAGGAAAAGCAAGCCAUUCCCUCUCUAUCAGGAUCCAGAGCACACUGCUGUUACGACUCCAGAACCGAUAAGGAAGCUAUGUGUGGAAGUAUGAGCUCAGGUCGCCUUCUGACCCUCUGUGACGGUCUAUUUCAGGCAGUUAUGGAUAGAUAACAUUACAGACACUGACACAAUGAACAAAAACCAGAGCUUUUGAAUACAGAUUUCCAGUAAAACCAAACCCAGCUUGGGUCAGAUGCACCUUUCCAGCAACCACCAUCUCAGCAACAACCUGCCAGCUGUCAACUGGAAGUUCAGCUUCUGGGAACUUCAGCCCCCUUCUCAGAGGAGCAAGGUCCUAGCACCAACAGCACCUGCAGUGGAGCCCAAGUAUGGCUGCUUCAUGGAGAAGGCAGAUAUUGAAAUGUGAUCACUGAGGCUCAGUGGGAAUCCCUUUGCUCUCAAACUCCCCGAUGCAAUGCCUUCUGAUUUCAACAGAAAAGCAAGAGGCUCCAGGCACCCCAUUCAGGGACUGCCACCAAAGUACCCGCAAAUCCUUCAUGAAAGGGGAGACAUUGACACAUUCUUUUUUUAUUCUCUGGUAGGUAUCUGUUUGCGUGCAAAUCCGUGAGUGCUUGCAUCUCGUGUAUUUGAAAAUCCUGUUUAAGAAUGCAGAGGUCCAUAUAGUGUCAUUAAAACAAAUGAGUAUAA